CAACGGGUCAGCUAAGCAUAAGCUAUUGGGCUCAUAACUCAACAAUGGAGUAUUCCCCCGUUGA